AUGAACGCUGGCGGCGUGCCUAAUACAUGCAAGUCGAGCGAACAGACGAGAGUGCUUGCACUCUCUGACGUUGGCGGCGGACGGGUGAGUAACACGUGGGUAACCUACCUAUAAGACUGGGAUAACUUCGGGAAACCGGAGCUAAUACCGGAUAAUAUUUAUCUUCGCAUGAAGCAAUAGUGAAAGACGGUUCUGCUGUCACUUAUAGAUGGACCCGCGGUGUAUUAGCUAGUUGGUGAGGUAACGGCUCACCAAGGCAACGAUACAUAGCCGACCUGAGAGGGUGAUCGGCCACACUGGGACUGAGACACGGCCCAGACUCCUACGGGAGGCAGCAGUAGGGAAUCUUCCGCAAUGGACGAAAGUCUGACGGAGCAAUGCCGCGUGAGUGAAGAAGGUUUUCGGAUCGUAAAACUCUGUUGUAAGGGAAGAACAAGUACGUUAGUAACUGAACGUACCUUGACGGUACCUUACCAGAAAGCCACGGCUAACUACGUG
rnacentral:rRNA from 1 species